UGAGGAAUAUUGGUCAAUGGGCGCAAGCCUGAACCAGCCAUCCCGCGUGAAGGAAGAAUGCGCUAUGCGUUGUAAACUUCUUUUCCAGGGGAAUAAAAUUUCGUACGAGUACGGGACUGAAGGUACCUUGGGAAUAAGCAUCGGCUAACUCCGUGCCAGCAGCCGCGGUAAUACGGAGGAUGCGAGCGUUAUCCGGAUUUAUUGGGUUUAAAGGGUGCGUAGGCGGAAAAAUAAGUCAGUGGUGAAAACCUUCAGCUUAACUGGAGACUUGCCAUUGAUACUGUUAUUCUUGAGUAUAGUUAAGGUAGGCGGAAUGUGUAAUGUAGCGGUGAAAUGCUUAGAUAUUACACAGAACACCAAUUGCGAAGGCAGCUUACUGAGCUAUAACUGACGCUGAUGCACGAAAGCGUGGGGAGCGAACA
rnacentral:rRNA from 1 species